CUUGAAACAAAACCAAAAACGCAGCUUAUCCAUGAAAUCAGAGAAUUCCCAAUCUCCUUGAUCCUCUCUUCUACCUCACAAUCCUCCAUCGAGCUUCAUCUUCUCUCAACCAAGCGCUCAUACUCACUAUCUCCUCUCUCCGCCGGAAACACACAAAUACUCCCUCCUUCCACCAUUGACCCACACGCAAAUAACCCCUCUGUUCUCUUCCAACAGCCAAACACGAAUUCAUCUUCCAUCCGGCACAUCCCACCAUCACCCACUGUUUCCGCGACUGCUAACACCAAUAUCACCUCACUUGCUGACGCACGACCCAAUUCCUCACCUUCCGCUUCAGAUUUCCAUCACCGUUCAGCUUCCGUAACGCGUCGACAACAUCAUCAGCUUCAUCAUCAAUUCGACACAACAACAUUAUCCAUUCGGUUC